rnacentral:rRNA from 1 species
UACGGAGGGUGCAAGCGUUAUCCGGAUUCACUGGGUUUAAAGGGUGCGUAGGUGGGCAAGUAAGUCAGUGGUGAAAUCUCCGGGCUUAACCCGGAAACUGCCAUUGAUACUAUUUAUCUUGAAUACUUUGGAGGUAAGCGGAAUAUGUCAUGUAGCGGUGAAAUGCUUAGAUAUGACAUAGAACACCAAUUGCGAAGGCAGCUUACUACACAGUUAUUGACACUGAGGCACGAAAGCGUGGGGAUCAAACAGG